UACGUAGGUGGCAAGCGUUAUCCGGAUUUAUUGGGCGUAAAGGGAACGCAGGCGGUCUUUUAAGUCUGAUGCGAAAGCCUUCGGCUUAACCGGAGUACUGCAUUGGAAACUGGUAGACUUGAGUGCAGGAGAGGAGAGUGGAAUUCCAUGUGUAGCGGUGAAAUGCGUAGAUAUAUGGAGGAACACCGGUGGCGAAAGCGGCUCUCUGGCCUGUAACUGACACUGAGGCUCGAAAGCGUGGGGAGCAAACAGG
rnacentral:rRNA from 1 species